UACGUAGGUGGCAAGCAUUGUCCGGAUUUACUGGGCGUAAAGGGCGUGCAGGCGGUCUGUUAAGUGCAGGGUGAAAGCUCCCGGCUCAACUGGGAGAGGUCCUUGCAUACUGGCGGACUUGAGGGGGGUAGAGGAAAGUGGAAUUCCCGGUGUAGUGGUGAUAUGCGUAGAUAUCGGGUGGAACACCGGUGGCGAAGGCGGCUUUCUGGGCCCUACCUGACGCUGAGACGCGAAAGCGUGGGGAGCGAACCGG
rnacentral:rRNA from 1 species